rnacentral:rRNA from 1 species
AAAUUGAAGAGUUUGAUCAUGGCUCAGAUUGAACGCUGGCGGCAGGGUUAACACAUGCAAGUCGAACGGUAGCAGGAA